CCAAUAGCGUAUAUUAAAGUUGCUGCAGUUAAAAAGCUCGUAGUUGAAUUUCGGGACCAAUAUGUCGGUCGUGCCUCGGUACGUACUGGCAUCAUUGGUUUCUCCCUUCUGAAGAACCAUGAUGUCAUUCAUUUGGUGUCGUGGGGAAUCAGGACUGUUACUUUGAAAAAAUUAGAGUGUUUAAAGCAGGCUCACGCUUGAAUACAUUAGCAUGGAAUAAUGAAAUAGGACGUUUGAUUCUAUUUUGUUGGUUUCUAGGAUCGACGUAAUGAUUAAUAGGGAUAGUUGGGGGCAUUAGUAUUCAACUGUCAGAGGUGAAAUUCUUGGAUUUAUUGAAGACUAACUACUGCGAAAGCAUUUGCCAAGGAUGUUUUCAUUAAUCAAGAACGAAAGUUAGGGGAUCGAAGACGAUCAGAUACCGUCGUAGUCUUAACCAUAAACUAUGCCGACUAGGGAUCGGAUGAUGUUAAUUUUUUAAUGACUCAUUCGGCGCCUUACG
rnacentral:rRNA from 1 species